GAGGGGUGAAAAGGGAACAAAUGAAUUUACUAUAAUAUCAGAUUAUAUUCACACUAAUCCAAAUAAGACAUACAAAAUACAAAAUUUCAAAUAAUAAUGUGAGAAAUAUUAGACGAAGAUAAUAAUGAGUGUCUAUAAAAGAAGAAUAAAGCUUAAAAAGAGGGAAAAAGACACUAGACUGCUAGAUGAAAGCACAUGAUGCAUCUUUUAUCGCUUCUCUCGAGUUCACAUGAGACAAAGAAAAAGAUAAGAAUUAGACACAUACUCGAUCUUAUGAGAGAUACAAAGUGAAUUAGGUGAUAAACACAUUAAUAUUUUUUUGCAGUCAAAUAGAAAAUCAAUAACGUAAAUAGUAACUACACUGAUUCAAAAAAUGUAAGACAUAGGUUAAGUAUUACAAAAAAUGCUUCAGGAAGUUGGUUAUAAUCCAAGUGGACAGUCAUGUGGAGUUUUUUUAUUUGGAGUUGAUCUAGAUAAAAGCUACAAUAUUCCAUAUGUUAAUAAAAAAAAUUCAUAGCAUUAAAGUCCUAGUUACCAAAUUCACAAGUAGAGUAUCACAUGAGUGAGAGCAUUACGAGCGCAUCGUCAAAAUCAAGCUAAACAAGAAUACCACUUUUGUUCGUGAGAAAGCUACCAACAAAGUUGACCAAAAAAGGGGAAGGAAGGAUUUUGCACAUUGUAAUUCAAAAUUAUUUUCACUAGAACUCCAUCUUGAAGAUCGCAAACACUAGUUGAAGUAGAUUAAAAAUUUUAACAUUUCAGUCUAAGGCAAAAGGAGCUUUACUCUAAACUUGAUCAAAAGAGACGCCAAUAAGGGAAACAAGAGCUCAGGUAAACUAGCGAGUUGCAAAUGAUAGAAGGAAAUUUGCAAAUCCAAGCUAGCAAGGGAACAAAUUUCUAACUCUAGUGCUCGUUUUUUACCCUCAGUAACAAUGUGAAAACAAUUCAAAUCAUAUCAGCCUCAUAGCACAUGAAAUAAGACAAGAACAGAGAAGUAAAGUUUCACAUGAAACAAAAGAAUAUAAAGAUUAAGAACCAAUUAAAUGACACAAUAGCAAAAGAUACAAAGCACACACUCCAAACAACAAUAUAGAAAUUUGGUUAAAUGUUUCCCUCACAUGUAAGAAUUUUUCACCAUCUUAAUGUACGCAUAUGGGACACCUACGAAAAUCUAUUACUGUAAUAAGAGAUCACUCAUAUGAAAAAUUAUUCAACAGUGGCACAAAUUCUCAAGUUCAAACACACCUAUUCAUUUAGAAAAGGGAGCAACCAAAGAACAUUUCUUGAAAUCAAAAAUUGUAUUUUUUAGAAGAAAGUGUAACAUUAUAUGAAUCUACUUUUAGUUAAACGUUCACAUACUAUUUGUAAGUGAUUCAAACCCAUCUACCAACAAUCACAUAUGUCACCAAUUUUUACAGAAAAGACAUUUGCACACACUAACAGAAGAGACGAGGUGAGACAAGUAAUGAACAAGGAAAGGCGGGAUGACUCAUGCAGAAUUUGGGACUAGAAUAACUCAGGUAUUCACAAAAUCAUACCAGUAGAAGGAGAAAGAGAUGCAAUCACAUCAUUUUGGCUUAGAACAACUUUACCAGGAUC
rnacentral:lncRNA from 1 species